GCUCGCGCAGUCUGGCGCUCUCCUGGCCAUCCGCCACAACCAGUGACUUGAGCUCAGAUUCUGUGGUCUGGGAACAAAUUUAUGGUCUGUGCAUUUCAGGAAUAUCAUCAUAGUACGUAUCUUACAAGUUUCAAAGCAAAGAUCAAAGAUGGGUUUUUGUCGGACGAGAACUGGAGGCCACCAAGAACGUGUAUGCUUCAACAGGGACCACUACAGAGUCUGCAUAAGGAGGUCAUGGAAAUGUUUAUGUUAUUAUUUCUAUGUUUUUACAUCAGCAUAAGUACAUAAUGCAAUAAAUCGUAUUUAUAUCGAUA